GACAGAAUGGCUGAAUAUAAGCGAUAAAUUGUAAAUUUAUUUAUGAAUAUAAAUUCUUCUGUCA
rnacentral:tRNA from 1 species